UUGCAGGGUAUAGACCCGAAACCCGGUGAUCUAGCCAUGGGCAGGUUGAAGGUUGGGUAACACUAACUGGAGGACCGAACCGACUAAUGUUGAAAAAUUAGCGGAUGACCUGUGGCUGGGGGUGAAAGGCCAAUCAAACCGGGAGAUAGCUGGUUCUCCCCGAAAGCUAUUUAGGUAGCGCCUCGUGAAUUCAUCUCCGGGGGUAGAGCACUGUUUCGGCUAGGGGGCCAUCCCGGCUUACCAACCCGAUGCAAACUGCGAAUACCGGAGAAUGUUAUCACGGGAGACACACGGCGGGUGCUAACGUCCGUCGUGAAGAGGGAAACAACCCAGACCGCCAGCUAAGGUCCCAAAGUCAUGGUUAAGUGGGAAACGAUGUGGGAAGGCCCAGACAGCCAGGAUGUUGGCUUAGAAGCAGCCAUCAUUUAAAGAAAGCGUAAUAGCUCACUGGUCGAGUCGGCCUGCGCGGAAGAUGUAACGGGGCUAAACCAUGCACCGAAGCUGCGGCAGCGACGCUGAUGCGUUGUUGGGUAGGGGAGCGUUCUGUAAGCCUGCGAAGGUGUGUCGUGAGGC
rnacentral:rRNA from 1 species